rnacentral:lncRNA from 1 species
AUUCAGCUUGCAAUUGAGAAUGAAGAGAUGCUGUGCUUAACACAAUGGAAGAUGUGCUAAUGGCGGACUUCUGGCAUUGGACAGUGGACAGAGGAGGUAACUGAGG